GUUACAGUGGGAGGCGCCCCCACAAGCCGCCCGGGAGCUUUGGGCAGACUGCAUGCCUCCUCUGAGCACGUUUCCCUUCCGUGACAUGAGACAAAGCCCUAGCUCACAGAUGCGGCGUGGGGGCUGAAAACAGCCAGAGCUGUAAGGGGCCUUCUUUGUAUUGAUGUUUCUUGGGAGGGACAACCUGGUUCACUGAGGUCUGCUCCACGCCAAGCUGGCCGCUAGGCAGCUUCCUGGUGGAUGUGACCAACACAGGGACACGCUCUGGCCAGUUCAAGCUUCCGAGCAGAAUUUCUCACCUGAAAAAUUCAGACUUUUUGCAAAGGUUUCUCCCACAUCUACGUGACUCUUGGAUAUCCUGCUGCCCUGCCCUGUUUUUCCUUUCACCCAUCUGCCUUGUGAAGGUGUUCUGCAUAAACCCGAGUUUAUGGUGAC